UCUCCUCUUUUUAGUUAAAGAUAAUUUGCUUUUUGGCAGGGCCCAUCUCCUGUUAGCCAGGGACAAAGUGAUCCCUGUUCACCCCCAGCUUGGCUUUUGAUCUGUGCCCAUGCCUGGUUCAUGCCUUGGACGCAUGG
ensembl:snoRNA